ensembl:snRNA U4 U4 spliceosomal RNA
AGUUUUGAGCAUUGGCAGUAUCGUAGCCUAUGAGGUCCAUCUGAAGCGUAAUUAUUGCCAGUUGAAAACUUUAUCCAAUACCCUUGGCGACAAUUUUUGACAGUCUCUGAGGUGA